AAGAAUCUGCAUGAAAGAGAGCAAGAGGAUGUUAAGAAAUGAGGUCAGAGAAUUAGGCAGGGAUGAAAUCAUAUGGACUCUAAUGCCAGAACUCCUGGAGAUCCAGUGGGAUCUGCCUUUGUGGAACCUGAAGCAAAGGAACAAGUAGCAAAACCUAUUGAGGUCUCCUCUCCAUCUGUCUUCCUGUUUGUUGU